GACGAACGCUGGCGGCGUGCCUAAUACAUGCAAGUCGAACGCAGUGGGGACGGGUGAGUAACACGUGGGUAACCUCCCAUCAGAGGGGAUAACACUUGGAAACAGGUGCUAAACCGAUACUGAUGGAUGGACCCGCUGUGCAUUAGCUAGUGGGUGAGGUAACGGCCCACCAAGGCCACGAUGCAUAGCGGACCUGGUAGGGUGACCGGCCACACGGGGACUGAGAAACGGCCCAGACUCCUACGGGAGGCAGCAGUAGGGAAUCUUCGGAAAUGGCCGAAAGCCUGACCGAGCAACGCCGCGGGAGUGAAGAAGGUUUUCGGAUCGUAAAACUCUGUUGUCAGAGAAGCGGUAUCUAAACAGAAAGCCACGGCUAACUACGUGCCAGCAGCCGCGGUAAUAC
rnacentral:rRNA from 1 species